rnacentral:rRNA from 1 species
CCUACGGGAGGCAGCAGUGAGGAAUAUUGGUCAAUGGGCGGGAGCCUGAACCAGCCAAGUCGCGUGAGGGAUGACGGCCCUAUGGGUUGUAAACCUCUUUUGCCGGGGAGUAAAGUGCCGCACGUGUGCGGUUUGGUGAGUACCCGGAGAAAAAGCAUCGGCUAACUCCGUGCCAGCAGCCGCGGUAAUACGGAGGAUGCGAGCGUUAUCCGGAUUUAUUGGGUUUAAGGGGUGCGUAGGUGGACGCUUAAGUCAGCGGUAAAAUUGUGGGGCUCAACCUCGUAGUGCCGUUGAAACUGGGUGCCUUGAGUGGACGAGAGGUAGGCGGAAUGCGUGGUGUAGCGGUGAAAUGCAUAGAUAUCACGCAGAACUCCGAUUGCGAAGGCAGCGUACCGGCGCGCAACUGACGCUGAGGCACGAAGGCGUGGGUAUCAAACAGGAUUAGAUACCCGAGUAGUC